rnacentral:tRNA from 1 species
GCGGGAUUGGUAUAGUGGUAGCAUGCGACCUUCCCAAGGUUGAGACACGGGUUCGAUUCCCGUAUCCCGCA